AGUGGCGGACGGGUGAGUAACGCGUAAGAAUCUAACUUCAGGACGGGGACAACAGUUAGAAACGACUGCUAAUACCCGAUGUGCCGCAAGGUGAAACCUAAUUGGCCUGGAGAAGAGCUUGCGUCUGAUUAGCUAGUUGGUGGGGUAAAGGCCUACCAAGGCGACGAUCAGUAGCUGGUCUGAGAGGAUGAGCAGCCACACUGGGACUGAGACACGGCCCAGACUCCUACGGGAGGCAGCAGUGGGGAAUUUUCCGCAAUGGGCGAAAGCCUGACGGAGCAACGCCGCGUGAGGGAGGAAGGUCUUUGGAUUGUAAACCUCUUUUCUCAAGGAAGAAGUUCUGACGGUACUUGAGGAAUCAGCCUCGGCUAACUCCGUGCCAGCAGCCGCGGUAAUACGGGGGAGGCAAGCGUUAUCCGGAAUUAUUGGGCGUAAAGCGUCCGCAGGUGGUCAGCCAAGUCUGCCGUCAAAUCAGGUUGCUUAACGACCUAAAGGCGGUGGAAACUGGCAGACUAGAGAGCAGUAGGGGUAGCAGGAAUUCCCAGUGUAGCGGUGAAAUGCGUAGAGAUUGGGAAGAACAUCGGUGGCGAAAGCGUGCUACUGGGCUGUAUCUGACACUCAGGGACGAAAGCUAGGGGAGCGAAAGGGAUUAGAUACCCCUGUAGUCCUAGCCGUAAACGAUGGAUACUAGGCGUGGCUU
rnacentral:rRNA from 1 species